AGUCACCAAGAGAGGAAGAAACAUUUCUAUGCUCAGCCAAUGCCAAGUGCCAGUGCUGCCAGGCCUACUUUAUCCCUAAAAAGCAUAUCUUCAACAGCACUGAAAUACUCUACCAUGAGCACUGCUUUGUGCAUACACAGUACUUCUAGCUCUUUUAUGAGUUUGAGGGUCAUAAGUACUGCAAACAUAUCUUCUAAAUGCCGACUGCUUCAUGCUGCUAAUUCUGUGGUGAGUUUGUAACUGAACACAUGAUCAAGUCCACCAAGGUAGUAAACUGGCAUUCAGGCUGUUUAAGCUGUGAGCUGUGUUUUGUGGAGCUGACUGAUGUGAGCUGACCAUUGAUGAGCUGCCCCAUGUUAAAAAAUGAGGCCUACCACCCAGACUACUUCAACUGUUCCCACUGUGGGAAGGAGCUGACCUCUGAUCCCAAGAGCUGAAGGGUGAGCUCUACUGCCUGCCUUACUAUGACAAGAUGGAUGCCACCAUCUGUGUGGGGCCUGCCAUCAGCCCACUGAAGGCUGAGUGGUAGAGACACUGGGAAAAUGGUGUCAUGUGGAGUACUUUGUGUCAAGUGUGAGAAGCCAUUCCUGGAGCACCAGCACUAUGAAAAGAAGGGCCUGACCUAUUGUGAGACCUAGUAUAAUCAGAUCUUUGAAGAUAGAUGUUUGCUACAAUUGCAGUCAUGUGACCAAGGUUGAUGGAACAAACCUGUGGAGUUCUAUAUGAAGCCUGUGUGCAAGAGGUGCUAUAAGAGGUUCCUUCCCCCUAGAGCUGAAGAAGAAGCUGAAGAAGCUGUCUAAUCUGACCUCCAGCAAAGCCCAGCCCAAAUAUGUGGACAUCAACUCAG
rnacentral:lncRNA from 1 species